rnacentral:snRNA from 1 species
GUGCUCACUUCCGUAUAGCACAUAUACGAAAAUUGGAAUGAUACAGAGAAGAUGCGUGGCCCCUGUGCAAGAGUAACAUGCAAAUUCGUGAAGCGUUCCUUAUUUUU